ensembl:lncRNA
GGGAAGUGGAGCUAACAGAGAGAGUUAACAUCAUCAUGGAGGGAAGUGGAGCUAACAGAGAGAGUUAACAUCAUCAUGGAGGGAAGUGGAGCUAACAGAGAGAGUUAUCAUCAUGGAGGGAAGUGCAUAGUGGAGCUAACAGAGAGAGUUAACAUCAUCAUGGAGGGAAGUGGAGCUAACAGAGAGAGUUAACAUCAUCAUGGAGGGAAGUGGAGCUAACAGAGAGAGUUAACAUCAUCAUGGAGGGAAAUGGAGCUAACAGAGAGAGUUAACAUCAUCAUGGAGGGAAGUGGAGCUAACAGAGAGAGUUAUCAUCAUCAUGGAGGGAAGUGGAGCUAACAGAGAGAGUUAUCAUCAUCAUGAAGGGAAGUGGAGCUAACAGAGAGAGUUAUCAUCAUCAUGGAGGGAAGUGGAGCUAACAGAGAGAGUUAUCAUCAUCAUGAAGGGAAGUGGAGCUAACAGAGAGAGUUAUCAUCAUCAUGAAGGGAAGUGGAGCUAACAGAGAGAGUUAUCAUCAUCAUGAAGGGAAGUGGAGCUAACAGAGAGAGUUAACAUCAUCAUGGAGGGAAGUGGAGCUAACAGAGAGAGUUAUCAUCAUCAUGGAGGGAAGUGGAGCUAACAGAGAGUUAACAUCAUCAUGGAGGGAAGUGGAGCUAACAGAGAGAGUUAACAUCAUCAUGGAGGGAAGUGGAGCUAACAGAGAGAGUUAUCAUCAUCAUGGAGGGAAGUGGAGCUAACAGAGAGAGUUAACAUCAUCAUGGAGGGAAGUGGAGCUAACAGAGAGAGUUAACAUCAUCAUGAAGGGAAGUGGAGCUAACAGAGAGAGUUAACAUCAUCAUGGAGGGAAGUGGAGCUAACAGAGAGAGUUAACAUCAUCAUGGAGGGAAGUGGAGCUAACAGAGAGAGUUAACAUCAUCAUGGAGGGAAGUGGAGCUAACAGAGAGAGUUAUCAUCGUCAUGAAGGGCAGAAAAGGACCCGAGACGGAUGUCGGAGCGGAAAAACAACUUGAUUAGAAAGGGAGGAAUACAUCUUGAUUAAAGGAAAGGAUGUUUAUUCAACUGUGAAGACAAACUUUGGAAUUAAAAACUGCUAAAUGAGUGAAAUUAAUGAAGUUUACAUGACUGAGGAAAAUAUUGCUGUGGUGGAGGACAAUGCUAAAGUGAAUGACAAUCAGGAUGUAACGGCCGUCGUCGGUGUAAGAAGGUGAGGACCAAAGCGCAGCGUGGGAAGUGUUCAUCUUCAUUAAUGGAAAAAAUGAAUAACAAACAACAAAGAAACAACCGGAACAGUUCUGUCUGGUGCAGACACACAAAGAC